rnacentral:miRNA from 1 species
UUCCGAGGCCACCCAUUCCAAC